GGGGUUGUAACUCAGUGGUAGAGUGUUUGACUGUUGGCUUUGCAUGCGAAAAGCCCGGAGUUCAAUCCUCCGCAACUCCA
rnacentral:tRNA from 1 species